UGGUAAGGUAAUGGCUUACCAAGGCUAUGACGGGUAGGGGACCUGAGAGGGUGGCCCCCCACAAUGGAACUGAAACACGGUCCAUACACCUACGGGUGGCAGCAGUAGGGAAUAUUAGUAAUGGGCGAAAGCCUGAACUAGCAACGCCGCGUGUGCGAAGAAGGCCUUCGGGUUGUAAAGCACUUUUAGAGAGGAUGAGGAAGGACGGUACUCUCAGAAUAAGUCUCGGCUAACUACGUGCCAGCAGCCGCGGUAACACGUAGGAGGCGAACGUUAUCCGGAUUUACUGGGCGUAAAGCGCGUGUAGGUGGUUUGGUAAGUAGGGCGUGAAAGCUCCCGGCUCAACUGGGAGAGGCCGUUCUAAACUGCCAAGCUAGAGGAUGGUAGAGGGAGGUGGAAUUCCGGGUGUAGCGGUGGAAUGCGCAGAUAUCCGGAGGAACACCAGUGGCGAAGGCGGCCUCCUGGGCCACUCCUGACACUCAGACGCGAAAGCUAGGGUAGCAAACGGGAUUAGAGACCCCGGUAGUCCUAGCCCUAAACGAUGUAGACUUGGCGUCGGUGGUUUAAACGCCAUCGGUGUCGCAGCUAACGC
rnacentral:rRNA from 1 species